rnacentral:rRNA from 1 species
AUGAACGCUAGCUACAGGCUUAACACAUGCAAGUCGAGGGGCAGCAUGGUCUUAGCUUGCUAAGGCCGAUGGCGACCGGCGCACGGGUGAGUAACACGUAUCCAACCUGCCGUCUACUCUUGGACAGCCUUCUGAAAGGAAGAUUAAUACAAGAUGGCAUCAUGAGUCCGCAUGUUCACAUGAUUAAAGGUAUUCCGGUAGACGAUGGGGAUGCGUUCCAUUAGAUAGUAGGCGGGGUAACGGCCCACCUAGUCUUCGAUGGAUAGGGGUUCUGAGAGGAAGGUCCCCCACAUUGGAACUGAGACACGGUCCAAACUCCUACGGGAGGCAGCAGUGAGGAAUAUUGGUCAAUGGGCGAGAGCCUGAACCAGCCAAGUAGCGUGAAGGAUGACUGCCCUAUGGGUUGUAAACUUCUUUUAUAAAGGAAUAAAGUCGGGUAUGGAUACCCGUUUGCAUGUACUUUAUGAAUAAGGAUCGGCUAACUCCGUGCCAGCAGCCGCGGUAAUACGGAGGAUCCGAGCGUUAUCCGGAUUUAUUGGGUUUAAAGGGAGCGUAGAUGGAUGUUUAAGUCAGUUGUGAAAGUUUGCGGCUCAACCGUAAAAUUGCAGUUGAUACUGGAUAUCUUGAGUGCAGUUGAGGCAGGCGGAAUUCGUGGUGUAGCGGUGAAAUGCUUAGAUAUCACGAAGAACUCCGAUUGCGAAGGCAGCCUGCUAAGCUGCAACUGACAUUGAGGCUCGAAAGUGUGGGUAUCAAACAGGAUUAGAUACCCUGGUAGUCCACGCUGUAAACGAUGUCGAUUUGGGGGUUGAGCUUUAAGCUUGGCGCCCGUAGCUAACGUGAUAAAUCGACCGCCUGGGGAGUACGGCCGCAAGGUUAAAACUCAAAUGAAUUGACGGGGGCCCGCACAAGCGGUGGAGCAUGUGGUUUAAUUCGAAGCAACGCGAAGAACCUUACCAAAUCUUGACAUCCCGGUGACAAAGUAUGUAAAGUACUCUUUCUUCGGAACACCGGUGACAGGUGGUGCAUGGUUGUCGUCAGCUCGUGCCGUGAGGUGUCGGCUUAAGUGCCAUAACGAGCGCAACCCUUGUUGUCAGUUACUAACAGGUUCCGCUGAGGACUCUGACAAGACUGCCAUCGUAAGAUGUGAGGAAGGUGGGGAUGACGUCAAAUCAGCACGGCCCUUACGUCCGGGGCUACACACGUGUUACAAUGGGGGGUACAGAGGGCCGCUACCACGCGAGUGGAUGCCAAUCCCCAAAACCUCUCUCAGUUCGGACUGGAGUCUGCAACCCGACUCCACGAAGCUGGAUUCGCUAGUAAUCGCGCAUCAGCCACGGCGCGGUGAAUACGUUCCCGGGCCUUGUACACACCGCCCGUCAAGCCAUGGGAGCCGGGGGUACCUGAAGUGCGUAACCGCGAGGAGCGCCCUAGGGUAAAACUGGUGACUGGGGCU